GUCUAGGGCCAUACCACCCUGAACGCGCCCGAUCUCGUCUGAUCUCGGAAGCUAAGCAGGGUCAGGCCUGGUUAGUACUUGGAUGGAAGAAAUAUGCCUGGAAGUAUUUUCUUGCAAUCUGGGAUUUAGAUC
rnacentral:rRNA from 1 species